AUGAAAUGGAUAGAUGAAUGAAGUGAGUGAUAAGAGAGAGAGGGAGAGAGAGAAAGAGAUGGGAGUCGUGGUCAUUUCUGGAGAAGUAGGGUCAGGAGGGGCCUGCUGCUUUUAUUACUUUGUUUGUCCUUUUCACCUUCUCCAACCCUCUUCCUUCUCCUUAGCCUUUUUAUCUCUUCCUUUUCCUUCUUUUUGAUUUCUCACUCACACACUCUUCAUCAUCUCGCACACAACACCAAACCCAUCUCUCUCUUUCAACGUUCUUGGGUCAAUUGGGUUUGUCAAAUACCGGAGAAACAACAGAUUAGAGGAAGCUUUUUCUUUUGAGGGGAAUGUUGUCUGGCUCGAGGCCACCAACUGGAUCUAUGAUUCUAUCUCAAUUGAUCUUAUAAAAAGGAAAAAGUAAAAUAGAUUUACUAACAAUCGAGAUAUUGAUCAUUGAUCAUGAGUUUGUGACGUCGGACCAGGCUUCAUUCCCCCCAAUUAUUGCUUCUAUCUAUCAUUUAGACAUUUUAAUUCUUAAUUUUGGAGUUGAUCUGAAGGUUCUUUUAUUCUCAGAAGAUUUGUUCUUUAUGCAAGUGGCUCUCUUUGUUUUUAAAAAAAUUAUAUGCAAGAUUUGAUCCUUCAAUGGCACUAGCUUUUGCGAAGCGUAUGGGUUACACCUUCUAUUGCUUAAAGGGUGGUGAAAGAAUAAUCUUUCAGAACACAAAGGUAAACUGACUGAUCUGUAUUUAAGAAACAACUUACUUGCAACUUUAUGAUGUUUUAUUCAGCCCUAGAUUGUGGCUCUCAUAAUGUUAGAUAUAUAGAUUGAACCACCGAUUCUGUUUAAACUCGUUUAGUCUUGUCUAUACAUAAGCACUUCCAGUUUAGAAAGAUUUAAUAUAGUUGCUCUUAUGAUUGGAAGUUUGUUCUCUUUUACCAUUAACUUGCUAUAUUAAUUUUGAAAAGUUGUGGUGGGUUUUGUGAUAAUGUGCCACCAGAUAAUACAUAUUAUCUCGAUGUUUUGAAAUGUCAAGUGUGUUUUAGUUUGCUUGUGCUGGUUGUGGAGGUGCUCAGGGCACAGCAAGUAUACAGAAAACUAUGGUGAAAGGUGAAACAGUUGGUGAUUAGAAAGGUGAAAAAGAGAAGCGUCAUCAAGAGGACAACCAUAGUUGAAUAAUGGCGCGUGGUUUGUGUUGUGGUGGUGUUGUGUGCCUCACAUUCUGUCAUCAAUUUCUGAACCUGAGUCAUAUGGAAACACUGAAUGCCUUUAAUGGUCUGAUCUGACUCUCUCUUUCUCUUUCACUACUGUACAGUUUAGUCAGCAUCAGCAUUGACGCCAUGGAUUCCUCUCUAUCCUCACUCUGUGAUUAAUGUGGACUACGAUGUAUCUAUUGAACAGAACUGAAAUUAUGUGUGAAAUGAUUGAUCCGGAUAAGCCAUUUUGGGAGAAACUGAGUAGUAUUCUUCACAGACGGCAUGGAAAUUUUUCAAAAGUUGGAUAUCCAAGGAGCAGCAUAUGAUUUUCUGGUCUUGUAAAAAUGAUAUAUUGUAACUUUACCCCUAUGAUUAGAUGACAAACCCAUUAGCUAUUGCCGUUGGCUAUAUCUAAGAGAUUUUGUAUUUCACUUCGUAAGAGAGGUGUCUACUAUAUUUAUGCAAUUACUUAGGUUUAUUGAACUUGUGGGGUGUUCUGUGGUCCUGAAAAUUAAAUAGGUUCCAAUGUAAGCCUACAUACCUUAGU